GGAUCCAGACUUUGAUUCUGGCUCAGGAUGAACGCUAGCUACAGGCUUAACACAUGCAAGUCGAGGGGAAACGACAUCGAAAGCUUGCUUUUGAUGGGCGUCGACCGGCGCACGGGUGAGUAACGCGUAUCCAACCUGCCCAUCACUUGGGGAUAACCUUGCGAAAGUAAGACUAAUACCCAAUGAUAUCUCUAGAAGACAUCUGAAAGAGAUUAAAGAUUUAUCGGUGAUGGAUGGGGAUGCGUCUGAUUAGCUUGUUGGCGGGGUAACGGCCCACCAAGGCGACGAUCAGUAGGGGUUCUGAGAGGAAGGUCCCCCACAUUGGAACUGAGACACGGUCCAAACUCCUACGGGAGGCAGCAGUGAGGAAUAUUGGUCAAUGGGCGAGAGUCUGAACCAGCCAAGUAGCGUGCAGGAUGGCGGCCCUAUGGGUUGUAAACUGCUUUUAUAAGGGAAUAAAGUGAGAGUCGUGACUCUUUUUGCAUGUACCUUAUGAAUAAGGACCGGCUAAUUCCGUGCCAGCAGCCGCGGUAAUACGGAAGGUCCGGGCGUUAUCCGGAUUUAUUGGGUUUAAAGGGAGCGUAGGCCGGAGAUUAAGCGUGUUGUGAAAUGUAGACGCUCAACGUCUGCACUGCAGCGCGAACUGGUUUCCUUGAGUACGCACAAAGUGGGCGGAAUUCGUGGUGUAGCGGUGAAAUGCUUAGAUAUCACGAAGAACUCCGAUUGCGAAGGCAGCUCACUGGAGCGCAACUGACGCUGAAGCUCGAAACUGCGGGUAUCGAACAGGAUUAGAUACA
rnacentral:rRNA from 2 species